UUCGCCAGGGAACUACGAGCCCCAGCUUAAAACCCAAAGGACUUGGCGGUGCUUUAGACCCCCCUAGAGGAGCCUGUUCUAGAACCGAUACUCCCCGUUCAACCUCACCUUCUCUUGUUUUCCCCGCCUAUAUACCGCCGUCGUCAGCUUACCCCAUGAGGGCUUAACAGUAAGCAAAAUUGGUGAUAACCCAAAACGUCAGGUCGAGGUGUAGCGCACGAGAAGGGAAGAAAUGGGCUACAUUUACUGGUUCAGUAGAUCACGGAUGUUGCUCUGAAAUAAGCAUCUGAAGGAGGAUUUAGCAGUAAGAGGGGAACAGAGCGCCCCCCUGAAAAUGGCCCUGAAGCGCGCACACACCGCCCGUCACUCUCCCCGAAACAACAUGACAAAUAAAUAAUACAUAAACUAAAAAUAAGGGGAGGCAAGUCGUAACAUGGUAAGUGUACCGGAAGGUGUACUUGGAAAAAC
rnacentral:rRNA from 1 species